AGGGCUAGCAAGUGCCCGGGAAAAUGGUGCCGCGCGGGGAACAACCGUGGGCAGCCGCUCAGCGCCACCCUUACCGGUAACCACGUGUGGAGUGGAGCCUCCGGCAGGAGGUAAAUAAGAAGUCCUGUCAGUGCCUCAUUAUCCUGGGAAGCAGUGGUAGCAGAACAUUGUAGGCCCCUUUUGAAGUUUGAUGUGGCUGUGCUGCUUCAUUUGAUCAACAAAAUGGGAGUGGAAGUGAUGAGAUCAGGGAUACAGUCAGCCAUGCACUGCCUUCCCGUUCCCCAACUUGGUAAUUAUGAAAGUGUGUUCUGUGACGGAGCCUCCAGCAUCCUGCUUUCCUGUGUGACUAUGAACAGAGCCCUGUUGUGGCCCAAAUUAAGCAGGAAUAAGAAGUAAACCUCUUCUUUGUCUGUUUAUAAGAAAUAUCUUCCUUCUCUGAGGUUAAAAAAAAUUAUACAUUUUUGAUAAUAGUUUUAGAGGUUUAUUUUUCAAAUAUAGGUUUUUAAUUUCUUUGUGAUUACUUUUAUAGACUGUGCAAUUCCUUUUUCUUUUUGUUUUUGCAGAUGGAGAGCCAGUCAUCCCAACACUAUUCAUUGACUCAUCUUGUAAUAGGGAAGAACAAAUCUGACUCCAUGUUGGAUCUGUUUCUUUUACUUUAACCUUCUAUUCUGUUGCCUUUGCUACAAGUUCAGAAUGUUGCCUAUAGCCUGAAAU